GAUGAACGCUGGCGGCGUGCCUAAUACAUGCAAGUCGAGCGAACAGACGAGAGUGCUUGCACUCUCUGACGUUAGCGGCGGACGGGUGAGUAACACGUGGGUAACCUACCUAUAAGACUGGGAUAACUUCGGGAAACCGGAGCUAAUACCGGAUAAUAUUUAGCUUCGCAUGAAGCAAUAGUGAAAGACGGUUCUGCUGUCACUUAUAGAUGGACCCGCGGUGUAUUAGCUAGUUGGUGAGGUAACGGCUCACCAAGGCAACGAUACAUAGCCGACCUGAGAGGGUGAUCGGCCACACUGGGAGGGAGACACGGCACAGACUCCUACGGGAGGGAGCAGUAGGGAAUUUUGCGAAAUGGAGGAAAGUCUGAAGGAGCAAUGCCGCGGGAGAGAAGAAGGUUUUCGGAUCGUAAAACUCUGUUGUAAGGGAAGAACAAGUACGUUAGUAACUGAACGUACCUUGACGGUACCUUACCAGAAAGCCACGGCUAACUACGUG
rnacentral:rRNA from 1 species